rnacentral:rRNA from 1 species
UACGUAGGAGGCGAGCGUUGUCCGGAGUUACUGGGCGUAAAGGGUGCGCAGGCGGCGGUGCGCGUGGCGAGAUGAAAUCUCCUGGCUUACCUGGGAGGGUGGUCGCCAGACGGCAUCGCUUGAGGGUCGGAGAGGGGCGUGGAAUUCCGAGUGUAGAGGUGAAAUUCGUAGAUAUUCGGAAGAACACCAGUGGCGAAGGCGGCUCACUGGACCGGUAUUGACGCUGAUGUGCGAAAGCGUGGGGAGCAAACAGG